GUGCAAUUUUUGGAUAAUCGACCUUAGUUUAUUUUAUGAGGAAGUCCAUGCUAGCACAGGCUGUGAUGCCUGUAGUGUUUGUGCUAGGCGAAUCCAUAAGCCUAGGGACGAGAAAUCGUUACGGCAGUCGAAAUGGCUAAGUCUUCGGAUAGGUCAGAAUAGGCUUGAAAGUGCCACAGUGACGGAGUCUUUCUGGAAACAGAGAGAGUGGAACGCGGUAAACCCCUCAAGCUAGCAACCCAAAA
rnacentral:misc_RNA from 1 species